rnacentral:lncRNA from 1 species
UCGGAGGUUCCGAGGAGUGGAGAAUCCAAAGAAGUCACUAGCUUCAAGUUCCCACAGUUGGAAAUCGAAAUCCCGUCGAGUGGAGAAGAUAAGAAGGAGGAGGGGUGCCGGUUGGAAGAAAUAGAUGUUAGGGUUUUAGGGCCAGUGGUUCAGGGGUAUUUAAACCCCUGGGUACCCGUCGGAAGUUCCGACGGACCGUUGGAAGUUUGAUGGGAGACAAGAUUCUCCAGAGAACACCUGUCGGGACUUCUCGGAAACUUCCAGUGGGUAUCGGAAGUUCCAGUACUGUGUCGAAAGUUCCGACAGAUGCAAGACAACUCCAAAAAGAUAGAUUUUGAGAUGGAUAUUGAUUGAGAUUUCUCAAUAUAUGGCUUCUGGACAUAUAAGACAUCUUGACCCUAAAGUGAUCAGCCAACAAACAACAUUACAUAACAAUGAUCACUUGAAUCAAGAUUUGAUCUGUGGAUCAAAAUCCAUGUUUUGAAAUAAUACUCAACACAAGUAAAUCCAUUUUUCCUAUCUAGGCAAUACACAAAUAUGUGCAAUAAGUCAAGCCAAGUUACGAGAAUUCAAGAUGUUUAGCUCAUUCCUCAAAGCACAAAACCUUUGCUCAUCUAGAAGCUUAGUGAAGAUAUCAGCAAGUUGCCUCUCGGUGCUUACAUGACGUAAG